CAGCCGUAAACUAUGCUCGCUAGGUGUCAGGCAUGGCGCGACCGUGUCUGGUGCCGCAGGGAAGCCGUGAAGCGAGCCACCUGGGAAGUACGGCCGCAAGGCUGAAACUUAAAGGAAUUGGCGGGGGAGCACAACAACGGGUUGGAGCCUGCGGUUUAAUUGGACUCAACGCCGGACAACUCACCGGGGACGACAGCAAUAUGUAGGCCAGGCUGAAGACCUUGCCUGAAUCGCUGAGAGGAGGUGCAUGGCGUAGACGUCU
rnacentral:rRNA from 1 species